rnacentral:tRNA from 1 species
GCUCUGUUCGACAAGCGGCCUAAGUCAUCGCCCUUUCACGGCGAAGUCACGGGUUCAAAUCCCGUACAGAGUACCA